rnacentral:rRNA from 1 species
AGCGAACGCUGGCGGCAGGCUUAACACAUGCAAGUCGAACGCCCCGCAAGGGGAGUGGCAGACGGGUGAGUAACACGUGGGAACGUACCCUUUGGUUCGGAAUAACUUGGGGAAACUCAAGCUAAUACCGGAUAAGCCCUUAUGGGGAAAGGUUUACUGCCGAAGGAUCGGCCCGCGUCUGAUUAGCUAGUUGGUGAGGUAAUGGCUCACCAAGGCGACGAUCAGUAGCUGGUCUGAGAGGAUGAUCAGCCACACUGGGACUGAGACGCGGCCCAGACUCCUACGGGAGGCAGCAGUGGGGAAUAUUGGACAAUGGGGGCAACCCUGAUCCAGCCAUGCCGCGUGAGUGAUGAGGGCCUUAGGGUUGUAAAGCUCUUUUACCCGGGACGAUAAUGACUGUACCGGGAGAAUAAGCCCCGGCUAACUUCGUGCCAGCCGCCGCAGUAA